AGGUGAUAUGAACCGUUAUAACCGGCGAUUUCCGAAUGGGGAAACCCAGUGUGUUUCGACACACUAUCAUUAACUGAAUCCAUAGGUUAAUGAGGCGAACCGGGGGAACUGAAACAUCUAAGUACCCCGAGGAAAAGAAAUCAACCGAGAUUCCCCCAGUAGCGGCGAGCGAACGGGGAGGAGCCCAGAGCCUGAAUCAGUGUGUGUGUUAGUGGAAGCGUCUGGAAAGGCGCGCGAUACAGGGUGACAGCCCCGUACACAAAAAUGCACAUACUGUGAGCUCGAUGAGUAGGGCGGGACACGUGGUAUCCUGUCUGAAUAUGGGGGGACCAUCCUCCAAGGCUAAAUACUCCUGACUGACCGAUAGUGAACCAGUACCGUGAGGGAAAGGCGAAAAGAACCCCGGCGAGGGGAGUGAAAAAGAACCUGAAACCGUGUACGUACAAGCAGUGGGAGCCUCUUAAUGGGGUGACUGCGUACCUUUUGUAUAAUGGGUCAGCGACUUAUAUUCUGUAGCAAGGUUAACCGAAUAGGGGAGCCGAAGGGAAACCGAGUCUUAACUGGGCGUUAAGUUGCAGGGUAUAGACCCGAAACCCGGUGAUCUAGCCAUGGGCAGGUUGAAGGUUGGGUAACACUAACUGGAGGACCGAACCGACUAAUGUUGAAAAAUUAGCGGAUGACUUGUGGCUGGGGGUGAAAGGCCAAUCAAACCGGGAGAUAGCUGGUUCUCCCCGAAAGCUAUUUAGGUAGCGCCUCGUGAAUUCAUCUCCGGGGGUAGAGCACUGUUUCGGCAAGGGGGUCAUCCCGACUUACCAACCCGAUGCAAACUGCGAAUACCGGAGAAUGUUAUCACGGGAGACACACGGCGGGUGCUAACGUCCGUCGUGAAGAGGGAAACAACCCAGACCGCCAGCUAAGGUCCCAAAGUCAUGGUUAAGUGGGAAACGAUGUGGGAAGGCCCAGACAGCCAGGAUGUUGGCUUAGAAGCAGCCAUCAUUUAAAGAAAGCGUAAUAGCUCACUGGUCGAGUCGGCCUGCGCGGAAGAUGUAACGGGGCUAAACCAUG
rnacentral:rRNA from 1 species